rnacentral:sRNA from 1 species
AGAGACAACAAAGGAAUUCGUGGAUAUGCUGGAUCUGAAACCUGGCCAAAAAGUUCUAGACGUUGGGUGCGGAAUAGGAGGAGGGGACUUCUACAUGGCUGAGAACUUUGACGUGGAUGUUGUGGGCAUUGAUCUAUCUGUAAACAUGAUCUCUUUUGCGCUUGAACACGCAAUAGGACUCAAAUGCUCUGUAGAAUUCGAAGUAGCUGAUUGCACCAAGAAGGAGUAUCCUGAUAACACCUUUGAUGUUAUUUAUAGCAGAGACACCAUUCUACAUAUCCAAGUAUAAGCUUCCGCUAUU